ensembl:lncRNA
GGUCUCUGUAUGCGUCCAGACACUGGAGCAGUCGUUACGCCAGGACUAACCGGGCAGUUCGCCCCCUGGGAAACUACAGCGUUGUACUACUACGCUCCGUUCAUAACGUGCUAAAGGCCAAAGAAAUUCGGUAUAACUUUAGGAGAUGUCCGAAAGUGUGUUCUCCUGUUUGCCAAAACUCAGUUCUGGAUGGAAUCCCCAAGCUCCCAGAAGAUUCCAUGACUCCUGGACUACAACUCCCAGCAGCCACCAGGAUGUGUAACAUUCUGUGACAUCAAACUGAGGGGUUUAGGACUAUAAUAGUCAUUUCAUAAAUAAUUCUCUAGCCAUUUUUAGUAGGCCUACUAAUGCUGUAUAUUGUGUAUAUUUGAUCAUACACUACACUGUUGUUUUUACUUGUCCCAGGGUUUGAGUUGUGUGACUGGACCGUGUUAGGCUGAUCUAGGAAGACACUUGUCCCAGGGUUUGAGUUGUGUGACUGGACCGUGUUAGGCUGAUCUAGGAAGACACUUGUCCCAGGGUUUGAGUUGUGUGACUGGACCGUGUUAGGCUGAUCUAGGAAGACACUUGUCCCAGGGUUUGAGUUGUGUGACUGGACUGUGUUAGGCUGAUCUAGGAAGACACUUGUCCCAGGGUUUGAGUUGUGUGACUGGACUGUGUUAGGCUGAUCUAGGAAGACACUGAGGCUCAUGUUGGAACUUGGCUUUGCGGGAGGGAGAUAUCUUAUCAGGCAGGUACAUGAUGCUGUCCUACUGGCACAGAGAACAGUGGGGUCAGAGGUCAGCCUCCUCGAGCCUCACAGCAAUCCCAACUGUGUACAACAUAGACAUCACUCUGACCCUCCACCCUCUCCUCUUUCGAACACUCCUGUACCCUCUUAUGACUGUUUAAUAACCCCUGUGCUUCAUGUGACAGGACACACACACAGAAUAAUGGGUCACAUUCAGAAUGUCCCAUCCUGUCUGUCAACAGUAGUUCAUUUUAUUCAUAUCCAGUAGCAUCAGAAUAAUUUUUUAAUAAUGGUGUUGACAUCACUUCCCCCUGAAACCUCAACAGGCAGAGACUGUGGACCUGAACACAGACUCAUGCUCUCACGCACGAUCUUGAUUGGUCCGCUUGUCCCGUCCAACCCCCACCUCCUUGUCUUAGUAGUUCUCCGCCUCGUG